rnacentral:pre_miRNA from 2 species
GUGAGGACUGGGGAGGUGGAGGGUGGCACCUCUGGAGCCAGAGCUCUGUCUUAGCUCCCCUCUCCCCCCACCUCUUCUCUCCUCAG